rnacentral:rRNA from 1 species
AUUGAACGCUGGCGGAAUGCUUUACACAUGCAAGUCGAACGGCAGCACGGACUUCGGUCUGGUGGCGAGUGGCGAACGGGUGAGUAAUGUAUCGGAACGUGCCCAGUCGUGGGGGAUAACGUAGUGAAAAUUACGCUAAUACCGCAUACGAUCUAUGGAUGAAAGCGGGGGAUCGCAAGACCUCGCGCGAUUGGAGCGGCCGAUAUCAUAUUAGGUAGUUGGUGGGGUAAAGGCCCACCAAGCCAACGAUCUGUAGCUGGGCUGAGAGGACGACCAGCCACACUGGAACGGGAACACGGUCCAGACUCCUACGGGAGGCAGCAGUGGGGAAUUUAGGACAAUGGGCGAAAGCCUGAUCCAGCCAUUCCGCGUGCAGGAUGAAGGCCCUCGGGUUGUAAACUGCUUUUGUACAGAACGAAAAGGUUUCUACUAAUACUAGGAGCUCAUGACGGUACUGUAAGAAUAAGCACCGGCUAACUACGUGCCAGCAGCCGCGGUAA